GAUGAACGCUAGCUACAGGCUUAACACAUGCAAGUCGAGGGGCAGCAUUUUAGUUUGCUUGCAAACUAAAGAUGGCGACCGGCGCACGGGUGAGUAACACGUAUCCAACCUGCCGAUAACUCAGGGAUAGCCUUUCGAAAGAAAGAUUAAUACCUGAUGGCAUAGGAUUAUCGCAUGAUAAUCCUAUUAAAGAAUUUCGGUUAUCGAUGGGGAUGCGUUCCAUUAGGUAGUAGGCGGGGUAACGGCCCACCUAGCCGACGAUGGAUAGGGGUUCUGAGAGGAAGGUCCCCCCACAUUGGAACUGAGACACGGUCCAAACUCCUACGGGAGGCAGCAGUGGAGAU
rnacentral:rRNA from 1 species